rnacentral:rRNA from 1 species
UACAGAGGGUGCUAGCGUUGUUCGGAAUCAUUGGGCGUAAAGGGCGCGUAGGCGGCUUGGUCAGUCCCGUGUGAAAUCCCUCGGCUCAACUGAGGAACUGCACGGGAAACUGCCUGGCUUGAGUUCGGGAGAGGGAAGCGGAAUUCCGGGUGUAGCGGUGAAAUGCGUAGAUAUCGAGAGGAACACCUGCGGCGAAGGCGGGUUGCUGGGCUGACACUGACGCUGAUGCGCGAAAGCUAGGGGAGCGAACGGG